rnacentral:rRNA from 1 species
UACAGAGGGGGCAAGCGUUGUUCGGAAUUACUGGGCGUAAAGGGCGCGUAGGCGGCCUGUUAAGUCGAACGUGAAAUCCCCGGGCUCAACCCGGGAACUGCGUCCGAUACUGGCAGGCUUGAAUCCGGGAGAGGGAUGUGGAAUUCCAGGUGUAGCGGUGAAAUGCGUAGAUAUCUGGAGGAACACCGGUGGCGAAGGCGGCUGACUGGAUCGCAACUGACACUGAGGAACGAAAGCUAGGGGAGCAAACAGG